rnacentral:rRNA from 1 species
UCCUACGGGAGGCAGCAGUGGGGAAUAUUGGACAAUGGGCGCAAGCCUGAUCCAGCCAUACCGCGUGUGUGAAGAAGGCCUUCGGGUUGUAAAGCACUUUAAGUAAGGAAGAAAAGUAUAUUGUUAAUACCAAUGUACCGUGACAUUACUUACAGAAUAAGGACCGGCUAAUUCCGUGCCAGCAGCCGCGGUAAUACGGAAGGUCCAAGCGUUAAUCGGAAUUACUGGGCGUAAAGCGCGCGUAGGUGGUUUAUUAAGUUGGGUGUGAAAGCCCCGGGCUCAACCUGGGAACUGCAUCCAAAACUGAUUCACUAGAGUACGAAAGAGGGAGGUAGAAUUCGCAGUGUAGCGGUGGAAUGCGUAGAUAUUGUGAAGAAUACCAAUGGCGAAGGCAGCCUCCUGGUUCUGUACUGACACUGAGGUGCGAAAGCGUGGGUAGCGAACAGGAUUAGAUACCCUGGUAGUCCACGCCGUAAACGAUGACAACCAGCUGUUGGGAAGCAAUGCUUUUCAGUGGCGCAGCUAACGUCUUAAGUUGUCCGCCUGGGGAGUACGGCCGCAAGGUUAAAACUCAAAUGAAUUGACGG